rnacentral:rRNA from 1 species
GAAGGGGGGCUAGCGUUGUUCGGAAUUACUGGGGCGUAAAGCGCGCGCAGGCGGUUUUCCAAGUCAGUGGUGAAAGCCCAGAGCUCAACUCUGGAACUGCCUUUGAAACUGGAAAACUAGGGUACGGGAGAGGUGAGUGGAAUUCCGAGUGUAGAGGUGAAAUUCGUAGAUAUUCGGAAGAACACCAGUGGCGAAGGCGGCUCACUGGCCCGUUACCGACGCUCAGGCGCGACAGCGUGGGGAGCAAACAGGAUUAGAUACCCUGGUAGUCCACGCCGUAAACGAUGGAUGCUAGCCGUUGGUAAGCAUGCUUAUCAGUGGCGCAGCUAACGCAUUAAGCAUCCCGCCUGGGGAGUACGGCCGCAAGGUUG